rnacentral:rRNA from 1 species
GAUGAACGCUGGCGGCGUGCCUAAUACAUGCAAGUCGAGCGAACAGACGAGGAGCUUGCUCCUCUGACGUUAGCGGCGGACGGGUGAGUAACACGUGGAUAACCUACCUAUAAGACUGGGAUAACUUCGGGAAACCGGAGCUAAUACCGGAUAACAUGUUGAACCGCAUGGUUCAACAGUGAAAGACGGUCUUGCUGUCACUUAUAGAUGGAUCCGCGCCGCAUUAGCUAGUUGGUAAGGUACGGCUUACCAAGGCAACGAUGCGUAGCCGACCUGAGAGGGUGAUCGGCCACACUGGAACUGAGGCACGGUCCAGACUCCUACGGGAGGCAGCAGUAGGGAAUCUUCCGCAAUGGGCGAAAGCCUGACGGAGCAACGCCGCGUGAGUGAAGAAGGUCUUCGGAUCGUAAAACUCUGUUAUUAGGGAAGAACAAAUGUGUAAGUAACUAUGCACGUCUUGACGGUACCUAAUCAGAAAGCCACGGCUAACUACGUG